rnacentral:lncRNA from 1 species
AUGUCAGGUGAGCAGGAGUUUAGAGCAGACCGAAGGCUGGACCUCAGCACAGAGAAGUUUCCUAGGCGCCCGGAUGGCCCACACAGAGGAGGGGCUUGCGGCUACAAGAGGCCUGAGGCUGAGCCCUGUGGGCAGAUGAGGCCAGGAAGCAGUCGUCAUGGCCUGACACCAAGUGCCACAUGGGGCCAGGUGGGCAAGAAUCUGCCUACUGACUCACCCAACCAGCCAAUGUUGCCAGCCAGACAGCGGCACCCCCUGCCACCUUGGCUGCAGGAGCAAAGGCAGACUUUCCUACAUGUCCUCAGGCAUCUGUCACUUUCAGAAACCAUCAGUCAGGCUUUGCCAGCAGUCCUGGACACAGAAGGUAGCGGGGAGGUCAUUGUGAGGCCAAUUGUCCAAAUAUGGCUGCUCAUUCCUCUGAGUCAGCAAAAUAUAUUAACAACAACAACGAAAAAGAUCUGUGGGAGAGAAAAAUUUCCUGCCACAUAUUCUGGCCCCUUGAUGACCCCAAAGGAGUGUCGUGUGUCCUUUGCGGGGGUCAGGAAGGAUGAGAAAGCAGACCCAGCCCUGGUUCUGCGGCCGUUGGCUCAGCAUCACCGCCAGGGAGCCAUGAAGCCUGUGCUGGGACCUCUGGGGACAGAGCCACACUGGCCUCCCACCUCCCUCCCCCAGAACCAUGGCCAAAACCCCCUCCUGAGGACCAAGACUCCUGCCACCAUCCGGUACCGUCUUGAUCCUUUGGGCCAUAUACACAUACCACACACUACAGUCUGCUGCUCAGUUUUUCUGCCCUAA